GUCCCAAUUGUUCACGUCUCCUUAGAAAAUUUUCCCAAAACAUCACCAUUUCUCCUCCAUGGAAACCGCCGCUCCCCUUCUCCUUUCUCUAACCUUUCUUCUUCACAUUAAAUUAUUAAUUCUCCAUAAUCAACUUUAAUUUUAACCUUCACUCCCACACCUCAGUCUCUUGGUUAUCACCCGGCGUCAUUGCUCACACCCCAUCUUGUCUCUCAUCUCCUAGCUUCAUCGCAAAGAUAAUGUACAUCUUGAUGCUUAGGUAGGGACAUAGAGACACACGAUUUGUAACACAGGUUGCAUUGUGAAAUCGGCCCCCAAACGAGCAUGCUGGUGAUUUGCACAUUCGGAGUAUGAAGGCCUGGAAAUUAAAUUACUAAAGAAAAGGUUAGUUUUACAGAGUCCAUUGAAAUGUGCCAAUUUAUAGUGCAAGUUACAACACAAAGAAAUUCGAAACUUGUUUCCUUGGAAUUGGAAUGAAUGAUACUACUUACUUGAUGAUUACUAGCAAUACAACUUGAAGAUGAAUUAAAUUAUUUUGACAAAAUGGUUGUUCCACCUUGUCAUUUGGUGGCACUUGGAGGCAUCAAUGAAAUGUCAGAUACUUGGACUCAAGAUAAUAACACAAUUUUUUCACAAGAAGAAUUUGGAGAAUGCAACUAAGCUACCUGUUUAUAGCUUGGAAAUAAGGAAUUUUAUUCCUUACCAACAACCUUAGUCUAAUUUUCUUUUAGAAAUAUUUGGUAGGAUCUAGAGCACUAUUUUGUUAGCAAUAAGACAAUAUUAUCUUAAUACUUUCUUGUUUAUUGAUCAUUGUAAUGAAGUUAGAUUUAUUUUUGAAAUGAACAAAGUAUUGGCGUUAUUACUAA